CGUCAUGCCUUGCGCGCUCGCUUCUGCUGAAGGCAGCAUGUGUUUGACUGCCCCGUUCAAAGUAUGGCUCAGUGAGGCUGCGGCUCUUCUCCGAGGAGGAUCUCAGCCGCGGAGGCGCCGGUGGAGCAGCAGCGGAGACCGAUGAGACCGGCAUCGAUCCCCCCCAGACCGGAAACGUUCACCUUCAUCGAUCUGCCAAACCAGAACUCUUUUGAGGAUUAUUGACGCUCAUUGAAAGAUUGCUUCAAGCUUUUCAGCGCUGGAGAACAACACAUUUAUUUCUUUAUUCUACUCUAAUCAAAAUGGCAUCAGCUGAUGGAUUCAUAACUCUAUACUUAAGGAUUGCUUUCUAUUCAAUAAAGGGAUUAACGUGAGGAUGUCCCGCGUGGUCAGGGGGCGUCCGCAGACAGGAGAUCAUCUCUGUUUUAUUAGGCUUCACUUUUGGAAAUCCCAAGUCUUUGUUCCUGUGGAUUUUGGCUCGACAAACGGAAAACUAACAUUAUUCUGGAAUAUAUUUUCUAAGCUGGAUGCCCAGUGAGUGAUCCACCAGCAAAAGAAUCCAAGUAUGGAUACAGAUAUCAGCCCGUAAUCAUCUCCGCUGGAUAUUCUGAACGUCAGUGCCAUGGAGGGACUGAGUAAUGGAAACAUGAUCUCAACAGGUUUAACAGGAUCACACUUACUCCUGGUUUGGACUAUGGACCAACAUCGAUGCCUGCAGACGUUUGCUCCUGGCAUGAGCUCCAUAACUGACAUUCUGGUUCUGAGAAUCCCGUCAACCGUUGGAACUAAUAAAAGCAAGGGCACAAACCCAGCAGAAUUCUUUCAUUUAUUCAAACCCCGUAGAGCGGAACAAGGAAUACGUUGAAAAAAAGCACACUGUCAUCUGCGUAUUGAUUGACUUUUAAUAUAGUUUUAUGUAUUAGUAUUAUAACUUUUACAAUUUUGUAAAAAUAAAACUUAAUGAUUUGUGCAAUAAAUCUACUUGUAAUCACUGGAUGAUUGCUCAAUAUGUGGAAAUCUAUCUUCAAUCUCCUUCUAGAGUCACAAAGAAGUCAUUGUCAUCAAUGUGUGUAUACAGCACAUGUAAACCAAAAACUCUCCUAAUCCAGCUGCAUAUUUUUGUGACACAUUGGCAGCUGUCAUUAAUGCUCAUAAUCAUCUUGCCAAGUUUUGUAUUGUGAUUUACUGCUGCAUGACUUCUGCUGUGUCUGUAAAACUUUUACAGUAAUAAAAAAAAAAA